GGCUGUUUGGAACRGGGACUUCUUAUUGUAUUACUAAAUGCAUGUAUCAUGCCUGGCACAACCAGAACUAAUGUAGUUUGGCUUCCUACCUGCAGUUUGAUGAAAAUUCAGCUGCUGUGAGAAACAUGUGGCACCAACACUGUGAUGAYUCAAGAGCUGGCAGGGAGCCCUACACUUUUGCUGAGAUACGAGGCAAUGCACUUUCCAAAACAAGGUCUCAAUGCGGUUUMGUUUAAACAUUGCUGACAAAAAUAGUCUGUGAUCGCCCAAUAAUUUUUCCUAUGGCUGCUUUGCUGCGUAAAACUUCAUUCGGGUGUAUUCUGGGAAACUUCAGGUUUGUAACUAUGUGUCCCUCURUCCUUUGGGAAACAAAGUGAUACCA